rnacentral:rRNA from 1 species
UGCAGAAUCCCGUGAACCAUCGAGUCUUUGAACGCAAGUUGCGCCCAAGGGACCCUCCCGAGGGCACGCCUGCCUCAUGGGCGUUAGAAGCCCAUCCACGCUCGGUUGCCUGACUAACUGACGGCAAAAGAUGCGGACAUUGGCCCUCCGAGCCGUGAGGCGCGGUGGGCCUAAGUGUGCGGCCGUCGUACGUGGCCGGGAGCGGCGAGUGGUGGGCUACUGCGCACGUCACCCCGAGCCCCGUACCGAUGCAGGGCCUUGUACGACCCCUAACGAGGAGCAUACCGCUGCGGCUUCUGCCGCGCGGUGUCUUCGGACCGAUACCCCAGGUCAGGCGGGGCUACCCGCCGAGUUUAAGCAUAUAAAUAAGCGGAGGAGAAGAAACUUACAAGGAUUCCCCUAGUAACGGCGAGCGAACCGGGAGAUGCCCAGCCUUAGAAUCGCGGCGGCAUUGCCGUCCGA